UUGUAUUUUUUUUUUUUUUGAUGCCGUUACUUGGUGAGUCUGUUUUUGGCACCCUCCUUGGUUUCCCGCGUGAGCUGGAGUCGCCGGUGCUGGUUUCAGAUGUGUGUUUGUAAGGCUGUGUGUCACCCUGUGCACGAAUAGACGUUCUCGCGUCAGUAGGAGAGCAUUGUGGGAAAAAAAGGGGCGUUGCUCUUCGAGGGUGUGCUCCACUCCUCUCUUUUCCCUUCUUCCCGCCAUCAUGGCCCUCUUCUGCUCCAGUCUUCCAGCCCGGGCCGCCGCUCACGUAUUGGGCUUCAGGAGCGUGACCUUGACGGCUCCACCGAGCGAGGCAACAUGAAUGCUGCCCUUGGGCCUGAGGAGACAGCUUACUCAGCCAGUCAUCGGCCAGGCGGCAAUUGCGCUUUCUACAUGUUGCCAGCAUGCGUAGAUUAUUGUGGGCAUUCCUGCGUUUGAUUUCCAAGUGGCGGAUUAGGUGACUUGGCGGGUGGAUGCCCAUUUGAAUCGGGCUUUGUCAGAGUGAGGUAGUAGGUUGUAUAGUUUGGUGUGUGGGUCUGCACCCUGCUCAGGUGAUAACUAUACAGUCUAUUGCCUUCCUUGAGAAGCCCACCGACAGCAAACUGAUUACGUCAUUGGUUACCUGCAAUUUCUGUUGAGCUGGCACAUAUUUAAUAAGAGAAGAAUCUCAUGGAACACCAACAACUCUCACAGGAUGUACAUUUUAUGAGGAUUUCACCUUAAUUUACUGAACUCACAAAUUGAGUUAUUUGAGGCCAACGGUGUAAUUGUAUUGCAUGUACGGCAACAAGCACAUACACGGGUUAAUAGUGGCUUCUGCCAUCCACUGGAAGAGCAUUUAAUAGUUAUACCUGUCACGAUAUGUCGGUGGAAAAAAAUUAAAUCCGAGCCAAUUGAGUGAAAUUACACAAUUUGCAAACACAUACCUGAUGAUCUCUUAUGCCACAAUGGUUUCAAAAUCACACUCGUCAUAGUGUUCAUGUCCUUGUAUAUGUCAUGUGACUGUCUUUCAUUUUGUAAAUGAAAAUAAAGUUUUUUCAAGUGAGUCUGCCUAUCUUG